ACUCCUACGGGGGGCAGCAGUCGGGAAUAUUGCGCAAUGGAGGAAACUCUGACGCAGUGACGCCGCGUAUAGGAAGAAGGUUUUCGGAUUGUAAACUAUUGUCGUGAGGGAAGAGAUUGACAGUACCUCAGGAGGAAGCUCCGGCUAACUAUGUGCCAGCAGCCGCGGUAAUACGUAGGUGGCGAGCGUUAUCCGGAAUGAUUGGGCGUAAAGGGUGCGCAGGCGGUCCUGCAAGUCUGGAGUGAAACGCAUGAGCUCAACUCAUGCAUGGCUUUGGAAACUGGAGGACUGGAGAGCAGGAGAGG
rnacentral:rRNA from 1 species